rnacentral:tRNA from 1 species
GCAGAUGUGGCAGAGUGGUAAUGCGUCGGCCUUGAGAGCCGAUUCGCCCUCGGGCGAUCAGGAGUUCAAAUCUCCUCAUCUGCGCCA